CUCUUGUGCCGCCUGAGGCUAUUCGAAUUUCACCUAAAGCCCUCACCCAUGGCCAUUCUGCAUGUAUCUGAGACAGUUUGCAAUCAGAGAGAGCGAUUAGAGCAAGAGAUUAGUAGAUUGCUUGUAGAAUCGUUAAGCCAAAAUGUAUAGUUAUCGUUAAGUGGCGGCCGAAACUGAGAUAAACGAGAUAAGAAAAAACAGAGCGCAUCUGUUUCUCUCUCUCUUUUUAAAUCUUCUCUAAAAUGCAAUAAGAAGAUCAAAAUAAAGACACAGAAGCUACGCAGCAAAGUAGACUUAAGCCGACUUAUUUUCAUUCCGCAUGUAAAUGAACCGCUUGAUAUGUCUAACUGUUCAUAGCAGCAGCUGUCCUGCUUCCUUUCAAUUAAAUGUCAAAUGAGUCAAAGUACAUACAUAUGUGAAUAUGUACGUGUAUAAGCAAAUUUUCCCAUAGACUAGACAUCGACAUCGCAUCGUCGCAAAAAGCGACGAUUUGCAAAUGAAUUGCAAAGUAUUUGCACGUCCCAGAAGCACAAGAACAAAUGACGUUAAGUACGUACGUACGAUGGAGGUGCGAUUUCUUCAGUUUCACUUUCGUUUUUAGUAUACAUAGGUAUGUACAAAUAUAUGUACAUAUGUAUCUAUUAUACUAUAUGGAGAAUAUUAUUUCCGCUGGGGAAACGCACAAUUUCCAUCCAACCCAAGCAACUGCUGGAUCAUCCUCCCCUGUUUCAUCUUUCAAUAUGGAAAAAACAUACAAUCAACGGUCUGCAAUGAAAGUAAAUGUAUGCCGAAAAUGAAGAAGGAAUGUACAGAUGUUCGGAGGAAUAAAAGGAGAAGAAAUGCGAAGCAAAAAAUCGAAAUGUAGGCGUGUCUCCCCAUUGCCGUGUUAACAGCACAUUGACUUGCCUGUGAAAUGAAAUUUAUUACAGGGGGCUGGGCGAGAAAAAAAUAAACAUUCCAUACAGUUACAGUUACGUUUACAGAUACAGCUACAGAAUUGUGCGUGAGAUUGCUGUGUGUCGCUGUCGCUGGCGAUGUUAAGGACGUGUGAAAAUCUGCUUCCUCAUGUUGCAAUGAAUACGUUAGCAGUCGGCAGCAAAGGCAGCCACUAGGCCCGCCCUCAAUAUGGUUUAUUAAAGACACACCCUCUCCCGCCCCCAACAGGUACCCUCCCGCCCAUCUGGCUGCUAAUCAAUGACCCAAAAGCGACCGACCCCCCACAAAACCCUUAACUGCAGAAUUAUGUAAAUGAUUUCAUUUAUAGAUGAAAGAUUUGAUUGUCUUCUUUCCCUACUGCAACCCAUUCCAGAAAGACAAUCAAAUACAUAUGUAUCUUCGAUUUGAGAGGUUUGUAUGCAUAUAAAAAUCUGAAACGAAUCUGUAGAUAGAGAGCGGCUGAGGGACAUCAUGAAUAAUAAGCAAACGUUGAUGGCUCAUGGCACUUUGGCCACGUAGACAGAGAAAGAGAGAGAGAGAGAGAAAAAACGUGGAAAGGAAUGAGAAUGUACUACAUAAUUUAAAUCACUGGCUGAAAUUUGCAUAAACUGCGUCAAAUGGCAGCGCAAAUUUCGUUAAGACAAUGGCCCAAAAUGUGGCUACUGCUCCACACCGUUCCGUUCAUUCGGGGUACUCCUGCUCCUGCUAUUGUCGGUGUUUUUGCUCAACCUGCUACUACUGCUCCUGCCCCUACUUCCGCUACCGCUGCCAUUCCAGCAAGACUGCCAUUAAUUUAACCAUUAUGGGGUUUACUGCGCUUUCACUUUCAUGUUAUUUGAUACUUUUAAUGCUGCCUGGGGCCCCCUCCCCCUGAAACUCGCAGUCUCCUGUUCCUGUUGCGAGGCCAUUGAAAACAUAUGCGCAAAGCCUUUGAGCUUGUCAGCAUAAUUUUCCCAGUAACCGAAUGGGGCCGACGAGGACGCCGGACGUACAGGACGCAUUUUGUAAGUAAUUAAAGCAGCAAAGUUUUUGAUAGCACAACGAGCAGCAGGCAGGCAGGUCAGCAGUAUAAAAACUCAAGCCCUAACAAGCUGCCAAAUUAGGGCGUGGCACUUAAAGCCCAGGAAUUUUUUCUGUUUUUCUUUUUUUUUUUUGGUAUCCUAAUUACGGAGGGCAGCAGUAGAUCAAGUUGAAGCGAUUUAAUGCAUAAAUUAAUGGGUUCAUUUUGUAAAUUAUUCGUUUGAAGACGAACGAGAGAGCGUGAGCAUUCCCUUCAAUUUCCUUUCCAGGAAAUCAUUUUCUUCUAUUACUUUGUCCAGAAAUAUCAAUGGUGCGAAAGAAGCAGACUGGCACUGUGAGGGGGUGAAAGAACUUCCUUAUAAUAAUUACAUUUGUUUAUAUCUUCUUUUGCCCCUCAGUUUCUGCAUAAAAUAAAAUAUGCGUGGUAAAAUGUCUUACUUGUUAACUAUCGUACAUAUAUACAUACAUACAUACAUAUAGACAUAUCUGAUGUGUGAUGUGUCCACAAUCUGUAUCUCCCUCUCGCUCCUUUGUAUCUAUGUAUCUUUUGCAUCUCCUGCUUGAUGGUGUCGCUACCGAAGGCAGGAAAACUUCAUUUCCGCAAAACUAACUUUUGUUUAACAUAACAAAUUGUCUUGUUUGCCUUUCGCAUAUCUGUGGGUGUGUGCGUUUCUAAGUGAUAGUUGAGCCCCACUCAACUAGAGCUAUAUAUGUAUAUGCGUGCGUGGGACGUGGGCGUGGCUGUUGACAGAUUUGCAUAGCCUCUGGAGAGAUAAAAGCUGGAAUAGUGGCGACAGGCAGGCACUGCUGCAUCUUUGGUCUCUUGGCCAUUUUUGUUAAAUUCAAUUUUCAAUUCGUUUUCUGUUCUCGAAAUAAAUUGGAUUUCGGCU
rnacentral:sRNA from 1 species